AGUGAACGCUGGCGGUAGGCCUAACACAUGCAAGUCGAACGGCAGCACAGUAAGAGCUUGCUCUUACGGGUGGCGAGUGGCGGACGGGUGAGGAAUACAUCGGAAUCUACUUUUUCGUGGGGUAUAACGUAGGGAAACUUACGCUAAUACCGCAUACGACCUACGGGUGAAAGCAGGGGAUCUUCGGACCUUGCGCGAUUGAAUGAGCCGAUGUCGGAUUAGCUAGUUGGCGGGGUAAAGGCCCACCAAGGCGACGAUCCGUAGCUGGUCUGAGAGGAUGAUCAGCCACACUGGAACUGAGACACGGUCCAGACUCCUACGGGAGGCAGCAGUGGGGAAUAUUGGACAAUGGGCGCAAGCCUGAUCCAGCCAUACCGCGUGGGUGAAGAAGGCCUUCGGGUUGUAAAGCCCUUUUGUUGGGAAAGAAAAGCAGCAGGUUAAUACCCCGCUGUUCUGACGGUACCAAAAGAAUAAGCACCGGCUAACUUCGUG
rnacentral:rRNA from 1 species